ACUCAUCCAACUAGUGCAAUGGUGGUCGGCUUUGUCUCAGGGUACUGACCACUGGCAUUCUGAACUGGAUUCGAAAAAUAGAAUUCUUUGAAAUUAUACUUUAUACAGUUCACUGGGAGGAUUAAGACUUAAUUAUUUUGGACCUAAAUAUGUUGUCAUGAAACCAAGCAUGGACACACGACAUUGUGAUAUAUGUAAUAUAUAUUUUUGUAUCACAAUAACAGUUUCCUGACCAUGUACAGUGGCAUCACAGCAGUUAUGAUGUAAUAAGUAUGUUGAAAGGGCCUCAAAAUGUCCCUUGAGACGGUAUCAUUCUUGUAAGAUGGAAACAGCUUCAUGUACUGGUGGGGCGGUGGGGUAGCCUAAUGGUUAAAGCGUUGGCUCGUCACGCUGAAGAGCCAGGUUCGAAUCCCCAGAUGGGUACAAUGUGUGAAGCCCAUUUCUGGUGUCCCCCGCCGUGAUGUUGCUGGAACAUUGCUAAAAGCGGCGUAAAACCAAAACUCAGUCAGUCAGUCAUGUACUGGUCAGGACCUUGUUAUUGAGAUACUGAUCAUGUCAUCCUUGUGUAUGAUCAUUAUUUAUGUGAGAGAGGGGGCCGAUACCUUUGUAGUUACAAAGGAUUCCAUUUUUCCAUCUUUUAUGGAAUGCUUGGUUGUCCUUUAUAGAAUACAUGCUUAAUUUGACCAAACUAGUCUAUGUUUCUGUGAUUGGCUGCCAAUCUGUCACAUAAGUAGAUUUCCAUUAGCUGUCGACAGAAGAGAUUUGGGGAGUGGAUUUUACCUCAUAAGCACCCAUUUGUAUUAAAGAAACGUGUGGUUGUUGGACAUUAAAUGUGCUGAAGAAAGCUGUCUCUUGCUAAUCAUAGUAAUCAAUAGCAGAAUCUGACAAAGUUCACUUUAAGGCCAGUAGAGCUUAUUCAUCAGAAAUUGCAAUGUCAUCUCACUUCUUUUAUUCCUUUUUUUUAGAAUCAGAGUAUACUAAUGUAUGCCAAAAUGACCAAUUCGAAUAACAUGUUCUUUGUUUGAAGGAAAUGAAAAGAAAUGAUCAUCCACAGCUUUCAAGAAUAAGUGUAUGGUCAUCUGAUAAUUAAUUUUUACUGGUCUUAACCAUUUUCAGAUAUUUUUUGUUAAUGCUUUUCAAAAUGUAUAUUGCUCACAAUGAAUGUUUUCUAUAAAGUUGUUUCCUCAUCAUGAUGGCUCCAGGAUGAACUGGUUAAUGGCUGUCAUGAUGGAUGUAGGUCAUGUCCUGUCAAUGUCAAAUUGGUGAUCCAAGAGGUCAAAUGCUUUCUUUUUAGUUUUGUUGACUUCAAAUGCUAUUGUACCUUCACAUAACAUAAAACUAAAUGUUAAUCAUUUGUUUCAUCAUUGUUCAUGUAGCUCACAUCAGACACAAUGUAUACGAAGAGAUUUAAGUGAUUCUGUUAUCUGUACAGGAAGGUGGUGCUGUAGAGCACAGAUCUAUUUAAGCACGCCUUGAGAUGGAAAGUGAUGUUAGUAUUAAGACUGUCAACUCCCCUACUUUAAUAUACUGGACAUAUAUAGGUGAGAAACUUCUUUGAACAGGAGCCACAUCCCAAUUCAUUAAACACUGGGACUGACACUGUUAAUGUCUGGAUUGUCAAAAGAUUAAGAUCAUUUUGUGGAACAGGGCGAUGUUCAACCAAACUAUCCCCAUGCUAAAAGUGAACCAACUUUCAUAAUUUAACAUACACUAACAACCAUCUGAGCACAAAGAAACUUGUCCAUCUUAAGUCAGGAUCCUAGUCCAUCAGCCAGCUGUCUUGCUGUGAGACUUUAGUUCUGUAUAGAACUGUCAUGCAUGGCUGAUGCACAGAAGGUUGUAGUAUUUGAGAAACAAGUAAUCUCAUAUCUUAAAAUCUUAAUCUUCAAAUCAGAUCUUAUUUCGCACUAUCACUAGACAAAGAUCUGAGGACCUCAUUACAAGCUACAUCACAAACACCUUUCGCAUACUUUGAUUUAUUAUUGAAAUUACUAACAAAUAGUGGAUAUUGGCCAAUAUAUAACUCAUUCGGACGAGUUGACCUUUUCAAGGUUGAAUUAUCAGUCUGACUUGUCCUUGAUGAGAUGUCCCAAUAUCUUUGUUUAGUGGUCAUGAUGACUAAGAACUGAUUUUGAAACGAUGAGAUUUUGAAUGAGAUUGUGCAACAGGUCCCUUGUACUUCCUUGCAGCCAGCUCACACUUCUCCAAAACAUCUACUUACAACUUUUAUAUUUGAUGGUUGUCUCAUUACCCAUUUAUAGACUCAAUCCUCACAUAAGGUGCUUACAAUCUGCAUUUUGUACUUUACAUACAAGUAUUUUCUAUAUGUUUUUGUGAACUCUGAGAUUUAUCUAGAUAUAUAUUGAUUCAGUGUCAAAUGUCACAGUAUAUACUGUUAUGGAUGUCCACACUCAACCCUUCAGUCUUCUCACUGAAAGGCUGUAGAUGGUAUAUGCAUGAUCCUCUGCCAGCACUAGUUCCAGUAGAUGGAGGUAAAGUCCUUGCGAUGCAACAAGCACACUUGAAGCAGUCACUGCACGGUUUGAUUUAUUUUUAUCACCUCACCCAUUCACAGUGAUGUUAGUCACAAUAUGGCUGAAAUAUUGCCGAUGUGACUUAAAAUCCUAACUCACUCACUCACUCACAGUGAUGUCAUGUAUGCAUGUUGCCAGAUCUUACCUCAGUGUGAUAAAGAAGAGCCCUUUGAGCCAUGAUGUCUCUCUGCAGAGUUCUGGAAUGGUAGCUCAAGAUGGGCCUUAAAAACCCUCUAUUCAGAACUUCUCUCGGGAUUCCACAUUAGAGCAGGUCAGAAAUGCUCUCUACCCAAAACAUUUUUGAAGAUUCCAGUUUAGAAAGGUCAGAAAAACCCUCUACCCAGAACAUUUGUGAAGAUUCCAGCUUAGAAAAUUUCAGAAACACUUUACCCAGAAUCUGUGGGAGGAUUCAAAUUAGAAAGGUCAGAAAUGCUUUCUACCCAGAACAUUUGUGAAGAUUCCAGUUUAGAAAAGGUCACUCACCCUUAUUAGGAUCCCAUAAUAGUAUUUGUUUGAAAAACUGAGAAAGGUCCAAGAGAAAAUGUCACUCAGGAAAACAUUUAUUGGGAGAAUGGGUUGUAGUCGUAUGUGCAGGUGAUGAGCUGCUUGAUGAUUAGUGAGUAUUAAAAACUCACUUACCUCCACCUUUCUAUAGUGUACUAUGAUGCAAACAGGGUAUUUAUCUGAUGGUUGUGUCCAUUUUACUCUUCGAACACAUCCUGCUUCACCGUAACUCUAUCAAUCUUAUGAUUGUUAUGAGAUGCAAGCACAGAUUGUAUGGAAGGUCACAUGUGUACUAUUAAUCAGAAUUUUAGGGGUUCGAUUCAGUACACACAUCAUAGUGUGAAGUAAUUUGAAACACAUCAAAGACUGGUAUGGCUGACAAUGGCAUGAAGCACCAUUCACUUACUCACAAACGUAGUUCUUGCACUUGGUUCAGAACAAUUCCUUUAGCUAGACCCUGCACUUAAAAUGGUCAAUGGCACCCUUAUUUAAAAAUAAAGUUAAGUUUUGAACGUUUGCUGCACAAAGCUGAAUGAUCACACACAAAAGAAACUUGCACGACUGGUGUGUCGCUCACGAAUGCUAAUUGCACUGAACCAUUUUACUUGUAACCGGACAACACGAUCAACAGAGAGCGCAUGACUGACUUUUGUUCGUAUCAUUGCACGGGAGACUCGAGUGGAAUACACCAGCCCUUGUUACCUGCUGCAGGAUUAUCUUGGGAUACCCCUUUUUGUUACCAUGGAAACUGUUCAAAGCACGGAUGCACGGCACCACACCCCAUAACCCGACUCACACCAUGGUACGUGAUAAUCACUGCGCAUGACUGCACGGACACCACCGAACUAUGCACCUUGCCAUUCACAUGCAGCUGCAGUGAUCUACGGCGUCAUCGGACACAUUCUUGGAAUGUCCACCCGAGUACCAGAUAUACCUGCAUUGAGAUGGCAUGAUCGACUGAUGCAAUAAACACAUUACAACACUGA